rnacentral:rRNA from 1 species
CAGCAGCCGCCGCGGUAAUACAGAGGGUGCGAGCGUUAAUCGGAUUUACUGGGCGUAAAGCGUGCGUAGGCGGCUUCUUAAGUCGGAUGUGAAAUCCCUGAGCUUAACUUAGGAAUUGCAUUCGAUACUGGGAAGCUAGAGUAUGGGAGAGGAUGGUAGAAUUCCAGGUGUAGCGGUGAAAUGCGUAGAGAUCUGGAGGAAUACCGGUGGCGAAGGCGGCCCCCUGGACAAAGACUGACGCUCAGGUGCGAAAGCGUGGGGAGCAAACAGGAUUAGAGACCCCUGUAGUCCCUGUCUCUUAUAU